rnacentral:snRNA from 1 species
GAAUGGGAGGCCAUCUGGCUGCAACAUCUGUCACCCCACGGAUCGCCAGGGUCGAUUCUUCGGCGGAUCUGGCUGGCUCGGCAGGUGUCCCCUUCCUCCCUCACGGCUCCAUGUGCGACCCUCCCAAAGCUGCACGCUCGGUGGAAGAGGACAACCUCCCCCGAGAGGGGAGGGACCGCUUCUUCCUCUAAUGGGUUUUUUUUU